rnacentral:rRNA from 1 species
UACGUAGGGACCGAGCGUUGUCCGGAAUCAUUGGGCGUAAAGAGCGUGUAGGCGGCUUGCUAAGUCUUGCGUGAAAUCUCGGGGCUCAACCCCGAGCGGUCGUGGGAAACUGGCAGACUAGAGUGCGGGAGAGGAGAAUGGAAUUCCUGGUGUAGCGGUGAAAUGCGCAGAUAUCAGGAAGAACACCCGUGGCGAAGGCGGUUCUCUGGAACGCAACUGACGACUGGAGAACGCGAAAGCGUGGGGAGCAAACAGG